rnacentral:rRNA from 1 species
UCGGGAAUUUUGGGCAAUGGGCGAAAGCCUGACCCAGCAACGCCGCGUGAAGGAUGAAGUAUUUCGGUAUGUAAACUUCGAAAGAAUAGGAAGAAUAAAUGACGGUACUAUUUGUAAGGUCCGGCUAACUACGUGCCAGCAGCCGCGGUAAUACGUAGGGACCAAGCGUUGUUCGGAUUUACUGGGCGUAAAGGGCGCGUAGGCGGCAAUUCAAGUCAUCUGUGAAAUCUCCGGGCUUAACUCGGAACGGUCAGAUGAUACUGCUUUGCUAGAGUGCAGAAGGGGCAAUCGGAAUUCUUGGUGUAGCGGUGAAAUGCGUAGAUAUCAAGAGGAACACCUGAGGUGAAGACGGGUUGCUGGGCUGACACUGACGCUGAGGCGCGAAAGCGUGGGUAGCAAACAGGAUUAGAUACCCAUGUAGUCCCUGAG